rnacentral:lncRNA from 1 species
GUCCGGGAAAAUAUAGACGUAAAAACGUAGUUCGAUAAUGACGUUAACAGUUGUUUAUACAAACUAAAAAUGAACAUACCGGAAUUGUAUUAGGAAUAUUUGAUUAACAAUUUUUACACCAUAUGUCCAUGACUUACGAGUAAUUAAUUGAAUUUAACCGUUCUUUGUCGGCUGAAUCACAAUGUUUAUUUUUUCGAGUGCUGGAAAAAGGACUUGUAUCCUAC